rnacentral:tRNA from 1 species
AAAGAAAUUUUUUAAUAAGCUUCUAACUUAAAAUAGAGCAUAAUGUUCAU